rnacentral:rRNA from 1 species
GACGAACGCUGGCGGCGUGCAUAACACAUGCAAGUCGAACGAUGAAACUUAGCUGAUUUCUUCGGAAUGAAAAUAAGUGGAUUAGUGGCGAACGGGUGAGUAACACGUGAGUAACCUGCCUUACACAAGGGGAUAGCCUUUGGAAACGAAGAAUAAUACCCUAUAACGUCAAAAUAUCGCAUGAUAAAGUGACCAAAGAUUUAUCGGUGUAAGAUGGACUUGCGUCUGAUUAGCUAGUUGGUGAGAUAAAAGCCCACCAAGGCGACGAUCAGUAGCCGGCUUGAGAGAGUGUACGGCCACAUUGGGACUGAGACACGGCCCAAACUCCUACAGGAGGCAGCAGUGGGGAAUUUUGCACAAUGGGGGAAACCCUGAUGCAGCGACGCCGCGUGAUUUAGAAGGCCUUCGGGUUGUAAAAAUCUUUUUUAUGGGACGAAAAUGACAGUACCAUAAGAAUAAGGUCCGGCUAAAUACGUGCCAGCAGCCGCGGUAAUACGUAUGGACCGAGCGUUGUCCGGAAUCAUUGGGCGUAAAGGGUACGUAGGCGGCCUAGUAAGUUAGAAGUGAAAUAAUAUAGCUCAACUAUAUAAAGCUUUUAAAACUGUUAGGCUUGAGAGAUGAAAGGGAAAGUGGAAUUCCUAGUGUAGCGGUGAAAUGCGCAGAUAUUAGGAAGAAUACCGGUGGCGAAGGCGACUUUCUGGUCAUCAUCUGACGCUGAGGUACGAAAGCGUGGGUAGCAAACAGG